rnacentral:rRNA from 1 species
CGACACGGUGACGUGGGGCGGAUCCCUGAAAACCGGUCUCAGUUCGGAUCGCAGUCUGCAACUCGACUGCGUGAAGGUGGAGUCGCUAGUAAUCGCGGAUCAGCAACGCCGCGGUGAAUGCGUUCCCGGGCCUUGUACACACCGCCCGUCAAGUCAUGAAAGUGGGCAGCACCCGAAGACGGUGGCCUAACCCUUGUGGGGGGAGCCGCCUAAGGUGAGGCUCGUGAUUGGGACUAAGUCGUAACAAGGUAGC